AGUUGCUCAUUCAACUUUUUAUGACGGCGCCGUCUUGUGACGGACAUCUUGCCUCAUAAGCCUCCGAAUGAUGCCAAAGAAAUGGUGCCUAUCGUCCAACUAAACCGAUAAUUGCCGCUUACGCGACUUUAUCAAGCAUCGGGCGACACGUGGAGUGAGGCACCGCCUG
rnacentral:sRNA from 1 species